UACGUAGGGGGCUAGCGUUGUCCGGAAUCAUUGGGCGUAAAGCGCGUGUAGGCGGCCCGGUAAGUCCGCUGUGAAAGUCGGGGGCUCAACCCUCGGAUGCCGGUGGAUACUGUCGGGCUCGAGUACGGAAGAGGCGAGUGGAAUUCCUGGUGUAGCGGUGAAAUGCGCAGAUAUCAGGAGGAACACCGGUGGCGAAGGCGGUUCUCUGAGCAUUACCUGACGCUGAGGAG
rnacentral:rRNA from 1 species